UGCCGGCAAAGCGCUCCCGCAUCCCACAGCUCCCACCCUGCCGCCGAGAGGUGUGCCCGCGGGUGGCCACGAGGAAUAAAAGCAACUGAGCCCCCCCAUCCUGUGCCUCACCACCCGCCGGCAGGGUCCCAGGGAGCCCAGCACAUCUCUGGGACAAGCCGAGCACAUCCUCAUCCUCACCCGAGAGGACUAUCCCAGCUGGAUUUCACCCGAGGCUGGAUUUUGCCGUUCCUCUGCCCGGUUUCCCAGGCAGGCAGGUAACCGGAGCCGGCACCCGCAGCACUCCCAGAGACUCCAAAAGGCUCUUCACAAUGACUGCCGGCCUGGAGAAAGCCUGCCACCGGUGCAUAUCUAAAAUUGCCAGCAAUGCAUACUUUAUAUUUGGGCUCCUCGCUUUCCUUGCCUUACCACUCUCCAUGACUUUUACAGGAAUGAAGUUUUUGGAAGAUUGCCCAGUUCAGCCACUAAUUCCAUUAUAUCUGCUGGUGGGUGGCGUGAUUGGCAGCUUAAAGGUAAUGUGCCUUCUGUGUGCGAGAAAUAUUUUGUGUGCUUAGACUUUGACUUGCUAGUUAAGACAUAAUGAUGGCUCCAGACAGCUAUGUGCAUGCGGUACUGCAGACAGCUAUGGGGAUUGAACUGUGCUUGUUCCAGCACCUAAA